rnacentral:rRNA from 1 species
GAUGAACGCUGGCGGCGUGCCUAACACAUGCAAGUCGAACGGAGAUUACGGACGGAAGUUUUCGGAUGGAAGACUGUGAUUCUUAGUGGCGGACGGGUGAGUAACGCGUGGGCAACCUGCCCUAUACAGGGGGAUAGCAGCUGGAAACGGCUGGUAAGACCGCAUAAGUCGGCGAGACCGCAUGGUUUUGUCGGGAAAUGAGCAAUCAGGUAUAGGAUGGGCCCGCGUCCGAUUAGCCAGUUGGCAGGGUAAAAGCCUACCAAAGCAACGAUCGGUAGCCGGACUGAGAGGUCGGACGGCCACAUUGGGACUGAGACACGGCCCAAACUCCUACGGGAGGCAGCAGUGGGGGAUAUUGCACAAUGGAGGAAACUCUGAUGCAGCGACGCCGCGUGAGUGAAGAAGUAUUUCGGUAUGUAAAGCUCUAUCAGCAGGGAAGAUGAUGACGGG